AUUGAACGCUGGCGGCAUGCCUUACACAUGCAAGUCGAACGGCAGCACGGGUGCUUGCACCUGGUGGCGAGUGGCGAACGGGUGAGUAAUACAUCGGAACGUACCUUAUCGUGGGGGAUAACGCAGCGAAAGCUGUGCUAAUACCGCAUACGCCCUGAGGGGGAAAGCGGGGGAUCGCAAGACCUCGCGCGAUUAGAGCGGCCGAUGCCUGAUUAGCUUGUUGUUGGGGUAAAAGCCAACCACGGCGACGAUCAGUAGCUGGUCUGAGAGGACGAUCAGCCACACGGGGACUGGGACACGGCCCAGACUCCUGCGGGAGGCAGCAGUGGGGAAUUUUGGGCAAUGGGGGCAACCCUGAUCCAGCAAUGCCGCGUGAGUGAAGAAGGCCUUCGGGUUGUAAAGCUCUUUUGUCAGGGAAGAAACACCGGCUCUAACACAGUCCGGGAAUGACGGUACCUGAAGAAUAAGCACCGGCUAACUACGUGCCAGCAGCCGCCGUAA
rnacentral:rRNA from 1 species